rnacentral:rRNA from 1 species
GAUGAACGCUGGCGGCGUGCCUAAUACAUGCAAGUCGAGCGAACAGACGAUGAGCUUGCUCCUCUGCCGUUAGCGGCUGACGGGUGAGUAACACGUGGAUAACCUACCUCUAAGACUUGGAUAACUUCGUGAAACCGCAGCUACUACCGGCUCAUAUAUCCAACCGCAUAGUUCAAUAGUUCAUGACGGUUUUCCUGUCACUUUUAGCUGGUUCCGCGCUGCAUUGUCUAGUUGGUAAGGUAACGGCUUAACAACGCAACGAUGCGUAUCCGAGCUGAUAGGGAGAACGGCCAAACUGGAAAUGAGACACGGUCCAGACUCCUAAGGGAGGCAGCAGUAGGGAAUCUUCCGCAAAGGGCGAAAGCCUGACGGAGCAAAGACGCGUGAGUGAUGAAAGUCUUCGGAGCUGAAAACUCUGUUAGUAGGGAAGAAAAAAUGUGUAAGUAACUAUGCACGGCUUGACGGUACCUAAUCAGAAAGCCACGGCUAACUACGUG